CACUUCUCAAUGAGCUCCUUCCUGCCGACACAUCCGUGGCAGCCUAUGGAUUCGCACGAGAAGGACAUUAACAGCUCAGUGCUGGCACACUCACAACGUGCUUACAUCAGUUGUGAUUAGCCUGGUACUGUUCGACAAGU
rnacentral:snoRNA from 1 species